UCGAACGGAGAUCUUGAAUAGCUUGCUAAUUGAGAUCUUAGUGGCGGACGGGUUAGUAACACGUGAGAACCUACCCUUUAGACAGGAAUAGCCCAUGGAAACGUGGAUUAAUGCCUGAUAGUCUCUACGGAGUAAAUGGUGCCUUCUGGUAUCGCUAGAGGAUGGGCUCGCGGCCUAUCAGCUUGUUGGUGAGGUAAAGGCUCACCAAGGCGACGACGGGUAGCUGGUCUGAGAGGACGAUCAGCAACACUGGAACUGAGACACGGUCCAGACACCUACGGGUGGCAGCAGUCGAGAAUCAUUCACAAUGGAGGCAACUCUGAUGGUGCAACGCCGCGUGGAGGAUGACGGUCCUAGGAUUGUAAACUCCUGUCAUUGGGGAGUAAGACUUAAGCGUUAAGAGCGUUUAAGUUUGAUAGUACCCAAAGAGGAAGGGACGGCUAACUUCGUGCCAGCAGCCGCGGUAAUACGAAGGUCCCAAGCGUUGUUCGGAAUCACUGGGCGUAAAGCGUGUGUAGGCUGCGCGGAAAGUCAAAUGUGAAAGCCCGGGGCUCAACCUCGGAACUGCAUUCGAUACUCCCGUGCUAGAGUAAUGGAGAGGUAAGUGGAAUUCCUGGUGUAGCAGUGAAAUGCGUGGAUAUCAGGAGGAACAUCAAUGGCGAAGGCAACUUACUGGACAUUUACUGACGCUCAGACACGAAGGCUAGGGUAGCGAAAGGGAUUAGAU
rnacentral:rRNA from 1 species